AUGGCUGUCGUCAGCUCGUGUCGUGAGAUGUUGGGUUAAGUCCCGCAACGAGCGCAACCCUUGUCCUAUGUUGCCAGCGGGUAAUGCCGGGGACUCGUAGGAGACUGCCGGGGUCAACUCGGAGGAAGGUGGGGAUGACGUCAAGUCAUCAUGCCCCUUACGUCCAGGGCUGCACACAUGCUACAAUGGCCGGUACAAAGGGCUGCUAUCCCGCGAGGGUGAGCGAAUCCCAAAAAGCCGGUCUCAGUUCGGAUCGUAGUCUGCAGCUCGACUACGUGAAGUCGGAGUCGCUAGUAAUCCCGGAUCAGCAACGCCGGGGUGAAUACGUUCCCGGGCCUUGUACACACCGCCCGUCACACCACGAAAGUCGGCAACACCCGAAGCCGGUGGCCCAACCGUAAGGAGGGAGCCGUCGAAGGUAGGGUUGAUGAUUGGGGUGAAGUCGUAACAAGGUAGCCGUAGCGGAAGCUGCGGCUGGAUCACCUCCUUUCUAGGGAUACCGGGGUACUAUCCCCGGUAGGCGCUCGGCCAGUUUGAUGGUUCAGGCCGUCCUGUUCCCGAGUUCGCCUAGAAGAACGUCGACCUCGACGAACGCUGUUGAGUUUUGAGAGACCGGCCUCGGCCGGCACCUCUGCAUAGGCGGACGCGGUUCGCGCGCACCUUGAAAACUCCAUAGCAGUAACUAGCGAAUUCUUCCUGAUCAAGAGAAUAAGGGCACACGGUGAAUGCCUUGGCGCCAAGAGCCGAUGAAGGACGUGGGCGGCUGCGAUAAGCUCGGGUGAGGUGCUGACCAACCUUUGACCCCGAGAUCUCCGAAUGGGGAAACCCGG
rnacentral:sRNA from 1 species